UUUAGCAGCCAUAUCACCCUGCAACUCACAACUGGCAACCCACUGAAGCUAAGCAGGUGUGAGCCUGGUCAGUACCUGGAUGGGAGACCUCCUGGGAAAAACUAAGGUUGCUGCUGGAA
ensembl:rRNA 5S_rRNA 5S ribosomal RNA